UACGUAGGGCGCAAGCGUUGUCCGGAUUUAUUGGGCGUAAAGAGCUCGUAGGCGGUCUGUCGCGUCGGAUGUGAAAACCCAGGGCUCAACCCUGGGCCUGCAUUCGAUACGGGCAGACUAGAGUGUGGCAGGGGAGACUGGAAUUCCUGGUGUAGCGGUGAAAUGCGCAGAUAUCAGGAGGAACACCGGUGGCGAAGGCGGGUCUCUGGGCCAAUACUGACGCUGAGGAGCGAAAGCGUGGGGAGCGAACAGG
rnacentral:rRNA from 1 species